CAAAAGCUUGGUCCUGACUUUAUUAUCAGCUAUAACCCAAAUUAUACAUGCAAGUAUCCGCACCCCUGUGAGAAUGCCCUUAAUCCCCCGCCCGGGGACGAGGAGCCGGCAUCAGGCACAUUAUAUAGCCCAAGACGCCUUGCUAUGCCACACCCCUAAGGGAACCCAGCAGUAAUAAACAUUAAGCAAUAAGUGAAAACUUGACUUAAUUAGGGUAAUUUAGGGUCGGUAAAACUCGUGCCAGCAACCGCGGUUAUACGAGAGACCCUAGUUGAUAAACACGGCGUAAAGAGUGGUUAGGGUGUACAACAAAUAAAGCCGAAUAACCUCUAGGCCGUUUCAAGCAAUACGAGAAUACGAAGCCCUAUUACGAAAGUAGCUUUACCCCCUCCUGACCCUACGAAAGCUAAGAAACAAACUGGGAUUAGAUACCCCACUAUGCUUAGCCUUAAACUUAGAUGUUUAAACUACAAGAAACAUCCGCCAGGGUACUACGAGCGCUAGCUUAAAACCCAAAGGACUUGACGGUGUCUCAGACCCACCUAGAGGAGCCUGUCCUAUAACCGAUAACCCACGUUUAACCUUACCACCCCUUGUUUAACCCGCCUAUAUACCGCCGUCGCAAGUUUACCCUGUGAAGGUUUAACAGUAUGCAAAAUGAGAGAACCUCAGAACGUCAGGUCGAGGUGUAGCUUACGAGGUGGAUGAGAUGGGCUACAUUUUCUAUACCAGAAUAUACGAAUGGUGUUAUGAAAUAAACACCUGAAGGUGGAUUUAGUAGUAAAAAUUAAUCAGAGAGUCAUUUUGAACCAGGCUCUGAGACGCGCACACACCGCCCGUCGCCCUCCCCAACUACUUUCAAAUAAGUAAUUAACCACAAGACUAAUAACACGGGGAGAUAAGUCGUAACAUGGUAAGUGUACCGGAAGGUGUACUUGGAUAAUC
rnacentral:ncRNA from 1 species